rnacentral:ncRNA from 1 species
AAAUUGUGACCCAUGUUAGUAAUGACAUGCGGAAAAAUUGGAUGAAUUGCUGGAAAGCUUCGUUUCAUUUGAAACAUGCCAAUCAGCAGCCAAGCCUGAUAAGCGUAUCAGGAAGGUUCAGAGACUAGAUGGUUCAGCACGAUCUUGCUGUGUAAUACAUCACUAGCGUCCGACACCCCACCGAUUUAUCGAGGGUGAUGAUAUAGUCCGAGCCAAUACGAAAGUA